GCGAGUGUAGUUCAAUGGUAGAACACAAGCUUCCCAAGCUUGUUGCGGGGGUUCGAUUCCCCUCACUCGCU
rnacentral:tRNA from 1 species